ensembl:lncRNA
GUUGUUGCAGACAAUAUAACAAUGGCCAAGGGAGAGGACUCUCACACGGAAAUUGCCCGCGUUCGCCAGAAGGACGGCAUCAACGUGAUCUUUGACCGCAGCAGACGCUCCAGCGGCUCCGGUCGCCACAGGGGGCGCAGCAACCGCCGGCAUCGCCGGUGUUCGUCGUCUUCAUCCAGCAGCAGGCACUCUCGUCACCGACGCAACAGGUCCCGCUCCAGCAGGUCCGGCCGGGCAGUUAGCCGGUUCUCCCAGUCCCCGCCCAGAAACCACAGGAGCAGCUCUGGAUCCGAAUAUUCCGAAAAUUCCGUUGACCUGAGUAUUGAUGAUAAAGGAAACCCCAUCAUGUCUGCCAAUGCUUCCAUAAUCCAAGAGGACGAGAAACUCUACAGUCCUGAGAUCGUGGAAUCAAUCCAGUCGGCUCAGGCAGUGGAGUCCAAUCAAGUGUUGCGAGAGACAUGGGUGAGACAAGACCUGGAAAAGACUCCGUCACAGAAUCCUUCACUCGCUGAUGGAGCAAAGGCGUGUGGACUGCAUUAUAGUGACUAUCCCUGUCAAGAGAGCUAA